UGGGUCAGCCAUGAAGUUGGUAAGAUGGGUCAGCCAUGAAGUAAUAAAAUGUAUUAACAGAUUUGGUGAAUUUCUACGUUGGGUGAAUGAGGAAGACCCAAAAGAUCCUCGUGAGAAUGCAAUGGCCAGACUGAUGAAAUCUUCGUCCAAGAGGUGGUAGACAGUUGGACGAGCUUGGAUACAAAGCUUGCUAGUCUCAUUCAAAUGGGGUUACAUUUGGUGUGUUGUAUCGAUACAGAGCUUUAACACACUCAAUGGACCAAAAGACAGCAGGUGUGAAGAUGAAUUUAAGUUAAGCUGAUUUUCUCAUAACUUUUCAAUGUAAAGAUAGCUACGAAGAAAUAUGGACGAGGAAAUCAGACCAGAAUGUGGAGAAGAUUGCUUAUGGAAUUUUUUUUUCGAUUCUGAGAUAUAGCAUGAUUAUGGAUUCCGAACAAUAGCGGAAGUUACUUGCUAAGUGAAUAGGAUCCACAAUCAAGACUUAACUACGUUAAUGCCGAAUAUCCUUUAGCCCCUCCUGCGAGAAUUUGGAUGAAUUUCGAUCUAGGUCAUUUUUGUGAAAGUCAAGCUUCGAGAAGCCUAGAAAACUUUGGAUACUUGAUUUUACCUUGUCGGCCUUUAAAUACUUAGUUGAACUGUAAUUAAGUGGAAACGUCAAAUACUGUGACCAUAAUAUAUAAUCUCUGACCAUGGUGAACACCAUUUCUUCUUGAGGAUAAGUUUUGUAUAGGCCAAGCAACACAUUAAAAAUACUGGUACGGAAAUAAAUAUUUUGCGGUCCAGAUACCUAGGGUAGGAGACUAAUCAGAUAUGCCCAGACAGAGUAAAAUCGUCGGUAAGGUGAGAAGCCGAUGUGUAUAGGAAAUUAAGUCUUCAAAAAUGAUUGCCCAAUAGUGGCUAGACCUCGAGUGAAGCUUCGGGAAGGCGACAAGUUUAGAGAAAGUUUCCUAGAGAAAAAUUUCGGAUAUAAGCAAGACUGCUAUCUGGGGAGAGUAGCUCCGUCGAGCUUGAAGACUGAUCUCAAGAAAUUUGUGAAAUUUUAAUAUAAGUAACUGGGGAUCUCAAUUAAGUUGUGAAAUUUUAAUAUAAGUAACUGGGCGUGAAGAGGCACUAAAUGUUGAAUAAUUAAGAAUGAUACUACUCACGAACCAUAGGAAAAGGUAGUGUUACCAAGUAUAGGGUAAGAAGAAAUAGAACAUUGGGUAUUAAACAUAAAUAGUAAGUGGCAUAAGGAAAGCGGAACAGCGAUAAGUCUGUUAAAGAAAAGAUUAAGUACCUAUUAAAUAAACUUUGCGUAUUUCAUAUUUUCUUAACUUAGUAAUAUUAUACUAAAAUCGAGUAACUAAAUAUUAAAUUUACUAUUACAAUUGGUAUUUUCACAUUUCUCCGUAAAUAACUAUCUUUCCUCUAUUUUAUUCUUUACUCCUUUUCACUUUAUCUUCACGUUUUCAUAAUUACAUUUUAAGUGAUAGGUAUAUGUUUAUUAUGCUUGACCUCUUCUACACUAAUACAUACUUUCCUCCUCAAUGAUUACUUAAUCAGAUUCUUAUCUUUUUUUAUUAUGCUUCAUUCUUCUACAGUGACAAUUAAUUUCCUCCUCAACGAUGACUUAAUCAGAUUCUUAUAUCUACUCUACAUUGUUUUCCCUCAACGGUGACAUUUUCACAAUUCUCUCAAACUUCUUCGGGGACUUCUCGUUUCACUUACACAAUUACUUUCGAUUCUUCCUUCCCCUACGCAGAUUUCAGUGCGCUUUAUUUCCCUUUUUUUCUUCCUCCGUCGACCAUUUCUACGAAAUUUCCUAAGGUUCCUGAAUUCACAUUUUUUUCCAUUUCACCAGUUUUAUAUCUUAGUUGCCGCUUCCAUACCCUCCAGUUGUAGAGCUAUCAACAAAUAUAUUUGUACUGGAAACUUCUCCCUGCCGUUCGGAGUUGCUGGUUUUCAUCAGACUGAAGGAGCGUUUUAACAUUAGCAGCUCACACCUAAGCUUUACUCCAUUCCAUUUCGAAGGUGCCUGCUGCGCAAUUUCACGCUUAAAUUCCGUCUUGAGGUUUUGCCGAUAGAAAGUGAAAUUGCCAUAUAUAAACUUAUGACUUCAUCGUGCGAUUCAGAAUUUUUUAGCUUUAUUUAUUUAUUCUCUUCAAUUUUCUUCCAUUGCACUAAGAUUUAAAAUUAAAUUCUCUACUCUACAAAAAAUCAAAUUAGGAAAUACUACUUAGAACUAAAAAGAAUAUUCAUACCCCUGAAUUUAUACCAUUUUGACUUCAUUACAAUGUGUGAUUAUUACUGAAUAAAUUAACAUACCUAUCUGCAUUAAAAUUUAUCACCUAUUA